rnacentral:rRNA from 1 species
UACAGAGGUCUCAAGCGUUGUUCGGAUUCAUUGGGCGUAAAGGGUGCGUAGGCGGCGCGGUAAGUCGGGUGUGAAAUCUCGGGGCUUAACUCCGAAACUGCAUUCGAUACUGCCGUGCUUGAGGACUGGAGAGGAGACUGGAAAUUUACGGUGUAGCGGUGAAAUGCGUAGAUAUCGUAAGGAAGACCAGUGGCGAAGGCGGGUCUCUGGACAAGUUCCUGACGCUGAGGCACGAAGGCCAGGGGAGCAAACGGG